UGCCAGCAGCCGCGGUAAUACGGAGGGUGCAAGCGUUAAUCGGAAUUACUGGGCGUAAAGCGCGCGUAGGUGGCUGUCUAAGUCGGAUGUGAAAGCCCCGGGCUCAACCUGGGAACUGCAUACGAUACUGGGCGGCUAGAGUACGAGAGAGGGUGGUAGAAUUUCUAGUGUAGCGGUGAAAUGCGUAGAUAUCUGAAGGAACACCAGUGGCGAAGGCGACUUCCUGGCCCAAAACUGACGCUGAGGUGCGAAAGCGUGGGUAGCGAACAGGAUUAGAUA
rnacentral:rRNA from 1 species